CAGGGCUUGACAUGGGGAGGACGCAGCCAGAGAUGGCUGUUCCCGCAAGGGCCUCCCGCACAGGUGCUGCAUGGCUGUCGUCAGCUCGUGUCGUGAGAUGUUGGGUUAAGUCCCGCAACGAGCGCAACCCUCGCCUUCAGUUGCCAUCGGGUUUGGCUGGGCACUCUGAAGGAACUGCCGGUGACAAGCCGGAGGAAGGUGGGGAUGACGUCAAGUCCUCAUGGCCCUUAUGUCCUGGGCUACACACGUGCUACAAUGGCGGUGACAGCGGGAUGCCAGGUCGCAAGGCCGAGCCGAUCCCAAAAAGCCGUCUCAGUUCAGAUUGCACUCUGCAACUCGGGUGCAUGAAGGUGGAAUCGCUAGUAAUCGCGGAUCAGCAUGCCGCGGUGAAUACGUUCCC
rnacentral:rRNA from 1 species